GAAAAAUCAUACAACUGUUGCAAAAUAUCAUUAAUCGUUGCAAUUGAACCAACAAAUCCAUUGCUACAUUAACGAGAACCAUAGCAAAACAUAAAAGGCAACAGUUUUAACUAUUCCAAUUGACAUAUGAAAUAAUAUUUUUUGAGGGAUCAAAAAUCAUUGUAAUAGACGUGCCUUAAUCAAGGACAUUUAGAAUCAUUACAAGAGCCGUGCCAUAUAGCUAUGGUAAUGCGAGCUGGUGCAUCGGUCAUAACCCUAUUGCCAUAGCAUGUGGACAAUGGUUUUGGGGCGUACAAUAGCGAUUUUCAUACUAUUUUCUGGAAGUGGAGGUCACCAUCCCCAACUGAUCUCAAAUGGCUUUUCUCUUGCCUGAUUAGAUGCCUCGCUGUAUCGAUAUUAUUUUUGAGAUGAUGCAGUUGUAAGCUUGUUCUUCUCAUACCCGACCUAGGUUGACACAAUCAACCCAAUCCUUACCAAAAGCCAUUUCUACCCAAUACGGGGACCGGUGGCGAGGUGGUGGGGAUGGGGGUGGCUAUAAGAGUGGGAACUUGUUUUCCCACUAUCACUAGGGAAAUUAUUUUUAUCAUGAACUUAUUUUGUAGAAAAAAUAAUUAUCAAAAAUUCUAAUCAAAUCGGACAUGAAAAAUAAAAAAAUAUUUUCCUCCUUUAUUGAAUUGACCCAUAUUUUUGGGUGAGAGCUUGGGGCGAUAAAGAUACAAGUAUUCGAACAGUGGUUGAUUCUAAGAGAUGAAUUCUUUAAGACAUUUGAGAAUGAGCUACUUGCAUUAUUGGAAAAUCGAUUAGCAGAAAAAAUUGGUGUCUUUAAGCUCAAAUUUUAUAGAUGGAAUGGUGGUAUCAACUCCAAAAAAGGUUCAACCUAUCGAUCUAAGGAAAGUGAGUGAGAAGACAUGUAACUAAGGCACCAAGAGUACUUAGUUGUAGAUUGGAGCGGAUAGAGGCAAGAAAAGUGUAAAUUCACAGAUCUGAAUAGUUGAAGAACUCGAAUUGACAGAGCUUAAUUAAAAUGGACAAAGGAGAGAUCGUAUAGAGGAGGGGAUACACCUUCAGGCAAAAUAGUUGCCUUGGAAGAUGAGCUCGUUAAACUAGAAGAAUUCUUCGAAAGCAGCUUCAGCAAAAUUGAAAAAAGUAAAUGGAGUCUUAGUCCUUUCACUUUCC
rnacentral:lncRNA from 1 species